AAACCAGCACCUCAAGUGGUCAGGAUGAUUAUUGGGCCUAAAGCAUCCGUAGCCGGGUGCAUAAGUUUUCGGUUAAAUCCAUAUGCUCAACAUAUGGGCUGCCGGAAAUACUGUGCACCUAGGGAGUGGGAGAGGUAGACGGUACUCGGUAGGAAGGGGUAAAAUCCUUUGAUCUAUUGAUGACCACCUGUGGCGAAGGCGGUCUACCAGAACACGUUCGACGGUGAGGGAUGAAAGCUGGGGGAGCAAACCGGAUUAGAAACCCGAGUAGUCC
rnacentral:rRNA from 1 species